GACGAACGCUGGCGGCGUGCUUUACACAUGCAAGUCGAACGGAAAGGCCCCUUUGGGGGUACUCGAGUGGCGAACGGGUGAGUAACACGUGAGUAACCUGCCCUUGACUUCGGGAUAACUUCAGGAAACUGGGGCUAAUACCGGAUAGGAAUCCUUGCUGCAUGGUGGGGGUUGGAAAGCUUCGGCGGUUUUGGAUGGACUCGCGGCUUAUCAGCUUGUUGGUGGGGUAGUGGCUUACCAAGGCUUUGACGGGUAGCCGGCCUGAGAGGGCGACCGGCCACAUUGGGACUGAGAUACGGCCCAGACUCCUACGGGAGGCAGCAGUGGGGAAUAUUGCACAAUGGGCGGAAGCCUGAUGCAGCAACGCCGCGGGCGGGAUGACGGCCUUCGGGUUGUAAACCGCUUUCAGCAGGGGCGAAGCUUGUGGUGACGGUACCUGCAGAAGAAGCACCGGCUAACUACGUG
rnacentral:rRNA from 1 species